rnacentral:lncRNA from 1 species
UGGCUCUUACCAGAAAAAAUACUCGAAGAGGGAAUUUGUAACAAGAGGAAUAUGGGGUUUCAAGUGGGGAUUAAAUCUUGAAUCAAGGACCAGAGACUGAGGAAGACAGAUGAUUCAGAACCUAUGAAGCAGCAGAUACUGAAACCUAAUCUGACGUCACAAACCUGACAGCUACUUUGUGACUCAGAAAGAGAUUAAGGCACAGACAUCAGAGUCCAAGUCUUGCUGUGAGGACACAGGGAGAAGACAGCCAUCUACAAAACAAGGAUAGAGCCCCACAAUAAAAACCACCCUGCAGCUACCUUGAUCUUGAACUUCUAAUCUCUAGAAUGAUCCACUAUGCUUUAUUAUCCAUAUCUACAUAUCCUUGUGGCUGCUACUCCAGCCUUCCUG